UCCCUGGUAGUAUAUUGGUUAGUACACGCGCCUGUAUGCCCUUGUCCUAAUCACUUGUCCUAAUCCCAUGUCCCGCGCGAAAGCUGGGUUCAACUCCCAGCCAGGGAG
rnacentral:tRNA from 1 species